rnacentral:lncRNA from 1 species
GGCUUAGUGUGCGGCACUGUGUACAACUUUACAGUGCAGGCAACGGAUGGCUUCUGCAACAGUUCCUUGAGUGAACCUCAAACUAAGGGAGCAGCUCCAUGUCCUCCAGCUGGAUUGAGGGUUGUCCCUCGUACAGUAGUAAAUGAUACUCAGAUCUUGAGGGCGUCUUGGUCUACUGUGAAUUGUCCUAAUUCUGAAUACCUCCUGGCACUCACGGGCAGCAUUCAGGGCAACAACCAAGCACUCUUUGACCUCACCUCCUAUUGGACAAGACGCACAUUCUUCGAAGUGCCUCUCCCUUGUGGCUCCACCUACAGUGCAACCAUCAGUGCGAGGAACUCUGCCGCCACAAGUGACAAGUCUGCUGCUGUCACUGGAAGCACAGUGCCUUGUGCCCCUCUAAAUGUGAUGUUCUCUGCAUCAUCGGCGGUAGUGGCAUGGAACGAGUCACUAUUUGCUACAAACUACACUGUGUAUGGGGUUACUUCCUCUGGAAGGACGAAACUCUGCAUGAGCUCACAGCUCCUCUGCUCUGUCACCAAUUUCAGCAGUGGUCACAUUGUCGUAACUGCCCAAAACACUGCCGGCGAGAGUGAAGACUCGGUGCCUGUUGUAGUGACAGCAGGUCGCAGGAGGAGGUGAGACCUGGCACAAAGUGAGAAAGGCCUGACCAACCCUGAGUAAAUGCUUGCAUCUCAUCGCACUCAAACUCUUGCCUCUGAGAACUCCUGCACUUAUCUAAGAAUUCUUGAAACUCUGUGAUAUUUAACUUUUGCAUGUUACAUAUAUUCUGGUUCAAGGUUCACUUUUUUUUUAAAACAACAUUUAAGGGUGGGAUAGAUUGACUGGGUAAAAGAUUAACAUUAUUUCUUUUAAAAUGUUUUCCAAAAUCUGUUUUCUGGCUGUGGGAUUUACUUUCAUGCAAUGCCAAAUAUUUUAAAAAAAGGUCUUAUAUAAAUAUGUAUUCCUGUUUUUGUAUACGAGUAGUUAUAUUAAAUACAAAGAGCAUUUCUCCAUGUGAUCAGUCUUAUAAAUAACCUGUAAAGCACAUGUAAAAUAAAUGAACCAUACACAAAACACCUGUUCUUAUAAAAUUAAUGUUCUUACAAGGAACUGACAAGGGCACAACAGUGACC